CGCUGGCGGCGUGCCUAAUACAUGCAAGUCGAGCGGACAGUAUGGGAGCUUGCUCCCUGAUGUUAGCGGCGGACGGGUGAGUAACACGUGGGUAACCUGCCUGUAAGACUGGGAUAACUCCGGGAAACCGGGGCUAAUACCGGAUGGUUGUUUGAACCGCAUGGUUCAGACAUAAAAGGUGGCUUCGGCUACCACUUACAGAUGGACCCGCGGCGCAUUAGCUAGUUGGUGAGGUAACGGCUCACCAAGGCGACGAUGCGUAGCCGACCUGAGAGGGUGAUCGGCCACACUGGGACUGAGACACGGCCCAGACUCCUACGGGAGGCAGCAGUAGGGAAUCUUCCGCAAUGGACGAAAGUCUGACGGAGCAACGCCGCGUGAGUGAUGAAGGUUUUCCGGAUCGUAAAGCUCUUGUUGUUAGGGAAGAACAAGUGCCGUUCAAAUUG
rnacentral:rRNA from 1 species